ACGGGUGUAGCUCAAUUGGUAGAGCACUGGUCUCCAAAACCAGCGGUUGUGGGUUCGAUUCCUACCGCCCGUGCUA
rnacentral:tRNA from 1 species